UGCGCGCCUGGAAGGAUCGCCGUGCUCUCAUAGCUUAUGACCUCCCCAUCCUUACAGGGCUACGGUGUCUACCGUUACGCCGACAAGUACGGCGCCAACGUGGAUGGCUACUCGCCAAUCUACACCCCGGACCUGUGGACUGAGUCGGGUGACUCCUACAAGCUGGGCACCAAGGGCCUCAUUGCCUGGUGCGCCGGGGAUUGUAUGACUCAGACUUGUUGAAAUGUAGGGGAAAGGGCUGCAAGUUCAACAGUAUUUGAGGGUUUAUGGAGGGUUGUUGAGCUUUUCCGCAGCAUUUAUUUGAAACGUUGCAUGUCUUGCUGCAAUGCAGGGCUGGCCUCGUCCUGGUUCUGCUGGCCGUCGGCGUGAACCUGAUCAUCUCGACCUCGCAGCUGGGCGCGUAAAGACUCUGACAUGAGCCUUUUGUGUAUUAGCGUGAUGAGAUGUCCCUGUCUAGAGAAGAGAAGGAUGUGUUUCCCUCUGGAAGGUUUUGCCCCGACGUUGGGCGGAAAGGAU
rnacentral:lncRNA from 1 species